rnacentral:lncRNA from 1 species
UUACUGUGAACCACUAACACCUAAUAAAAUUCAUUCAUCUUCUUCUUCCCUCAUCUCUUCCCUCAUCCGUUCAUGAACUUCAACAACAACUUCAUCAAUAAAAUCCAAAAUAUCCAAAAUGAAUAAAUAUUAUACACCUACUCUUUAAUCACCAGAGUCUAUUGUAUUUUACUGUGAACCACUAACACCUAAUAAAAUUCAUUCAUCUUCUUCUUCCCUCAUCCCUUCAUGAACUUCAACAACAACUUCAUCAAUAAAAUCCAAAAAAUCCUAAAUGAAUAAAUAUUAUACACAUACUCUUUAAUCACCAGACAACCAUCAUUGUCAUCUUUAUCUAUCAUCAUCAACACCCUCCUUUGUCAUCAUCAAUUCAUACCCAAAUUCAUUAACUCCACCAUACCCAUAACCAUCGCAAAAUCAAAAGAAGGGUUCAAAUCCAUUAUUUUAAAAAGAAACAAAAUCGGGUCAUCAUUAGGAGAUUAAGUUGUUAACUCACAAUUUGAAGAUCCACAACCGGUUUCUUUCAAUUCUUCCAACUCCAAUUUCCAUUCCCAAUUCGAAACCCUAGAACUUUUCUGAUACCAAUUCUUCGAUUCGAUGGCACCAAAGUGAGAGAAGAAGCCAGCUGAGAAGAAACCCGCAGAGGAGAAGAAAUACACUGUCGAGGAGAAAGCUCAUGCGGGUGCUAACUGCAGUGAGACUUGUUCUUCCUGGAGAAUUGGCCAAGCAUGUUGUGUCUGAGGGUACUAACUACUUAAGUUUGUGACAAAUUUUACAAGUUCUUAAACACGAGACUAUGUUGUGGACUUGUGGUUGUUUUGAAGUUCUUGCUUGCUGGAUCGUUAUGUUGAAGCACCAUUAGAUUUUUAAUUUUUGAGGAGGGCUAGCAACACUUUCUUUUUAAUAUUCUCUCUAGCAUUCACUCUCUCAUUGGAUGAAAUUAAUGUGGAUCCCACACUUUGAAAACGGAUCCCCACAUAAAAUGGUGGAGUCCUCAUUGAUUUCAUCCAAUGAUAGAGUGAGUGCUGUAGAGAAUGUUAAAAAGAGAGUGUUGUUAGCCUUCUUCUUUAAUUUUUUUUUUAAUAGAUUUUACCUUUUCAUAGUUGUAGUUAACUAACGUGAUCUUUUUUAUCCCUCUUGUGUAUUAUAAAAAAAAGUCACAAUUUUGACAAUUGUACAUUUUAUGUGAAAGCCAUGAAUUCAUGAUGUUGAAGAGAUGAA